UUUCGGCGGAACAGGUUCCUGCUAUUUUAUCCAGGGCUGAUUUACCUGAUGACUCAUUUCGGUUUCGGGUGAACAGGCGCUGCUAUUUUAUCAAGGUCUGAUUUACCUGACAACUCAUUUUGGUUUUGGGUGAACAGGUUCCUGCUGUUUUAUCAAGGGCUGAUUUACCUGACGACUCAUUUCAGUUUUGGGUGAACAGGUUCCUGCUAUUUUAUCGAGGGCUGAUUUACCUGACGACUCAUCUCACUCUUGCUGCUUCCAGGACUCCCAGUUUCCCUUUGAUUGUUUGACUACAGUGUGUGCAGAUGGGAGUUCCCCUGCACAAGCUCUCUUACCUACCACCAUGUGAGAUGUGACUUUGCUCCUCCAUCGCCUUCCACCAUGACCAUGAGGCUUCCGCAGCCAUGUGAAACUGAUUUUGAAUAUAUCAUCCAGCUCCUUCCUGGCCUAUAAAGUUUCUGGAAAAAGAAAAUCCAUGGAUAUCUUACACGGCUGACACUGCUAUCAUUUUUGGAACCAAGGCUGGAUCAUGACAGAACAGAGCCUCCACUACUCCUGCCUUCAGCCAGGGCCCCGAAGCAAGGCUCCACCUAACCAUCAAGUGACUGAAGGCACUAAGGGAGCCCGGCUGGGACGGAGAACCAGCAGCUGAGCACAGCCAAAGGCAAUGACCACAGAGGUCGGAGCCACACACCUUGCUGCUGCUGCCUGUGGCAGGGCUGGUUACUCAGCAUUAAUUUCACAUAUGUUACGCAUUCACGAUGGCUUUAUCUCUGGGUGUUGGGAUUACAGAUGGUUUUUUCUUUCUAAUUUUUUGGACUCAAAUUUUAAUAACAUGUAACAUACUUUAUAUCUCAUUCUCUCAAAGAUAUUAGCAAUAUAGUAUUUUUGUAAGUCUAUCAAAAGAAAUCUUCUACCUAUGUCUAGAAAUU
rnacentral:lncRNA from 1 species